rnacentral:rRNA from 1 species
UACAGAGGUCUCAAGCGUUGUUCGGAUUCAUUGGGCGUAAAGGGUGCGUAGGCGGCGCGGUAAGUCGGGUGUGAAAUCUCGGAGCUUAACUCCGAAACUGCAUUCGAUACUGCCGUGCUUGAGGACUGGAGAGGAGACUGGAAUUUACGGUGUAGCGGUGAAAUGCGCAGAUAUCAGGAGGAACACCGGUGGCGAAGGCGAGUCUCUGGGCAGUAACUGACGCUGAGGAGCGAAAGCGUGGGUAGCGAACAGG